GAUGAACGCUAGCGGCAGGCUUAACACAUGCAAGUCGAGGGGCAGCAUUACCUUCGGGUAGAUGGCGACCGGCGCACGGGUGCGUAACGCGUAUACAACUUGCCUUUGACAGGAGGAUAGCCCGGGGAAACUCGGAUUAAUACUCCGUAACAUGAUUUUAUCGCAUGAUAGAAUCAUCAAAGCUUCGGCGGUCAAAGAUGGGUAUGCGUCCCAUUAGCUCGUUGGUGAGGUAACGGCUCACCAAGGCGAUGAUGGGUAGGGGUUCUGAGAGGAUGAUCCCCCACACUGGUACUGAGACACGGACCAGACUCCUACGGGAGGCAGCAGUGAGGAAUAUUGGUCAAUGGACGCAAGUCUGAACCAGCCAUGCCGCGUGCAGGAAGACGGCCUUAUGGGUUGUAAACUGCUUUUUUACGAGAAUAAAGGUAGGUACGUGUACUUAUUUGAAGGUAUCGUAGGAAUAAGCGCCGGCUAACUCCGUGCCAGCAGCCGCGGUAAUACGGAGGGUGCAAGCGUUAUCCGGAUUUAUUGGGUUUAAAGGGUACGUAGG
rnacentral:rRNA from 1 species